GAACUGAAGAGUUUGAUCCUGGCUCAGAUUGAACGCUGGCGGCAUGCCUUACACAUGCAAGUCGAACGGCAGCACGGGUGCUUGCACCUGGUGGCGAGUGGCGAACGGGUGAGUAAUACAUCGGAACAUGUCCUGUAGUGGGGGAUAGCCCGGCGAAAGCCGGAUUAAUACCGCAUACGAUCUACGGAUGAAAGCGGGGGACCUUCGGGCCUCGCGCUAUAGGGUUGGCCGAUGGCUGAUUAGCUAGUUGGUGGGGUAAAGGCCUACCAAGGCGACGAUCAGUAGCUGGUCUGAGAGGACGACCAGCCACACUGGGACUGAGACACGGCCCAGACUCCUACGGGAGGCAGCAGUGGGGAAUUUUGGACAAUGGGCGAAAGCCUGAUCCAGCAAUGCCGCGUGUGUGAAGAAGGCCUUCGGGUUGUAAAGCACUUUUGUCCGGAAAGAAAUCCUUG
rnacentral:rRNA from 1 species